GGCACUUUGGCGGAGUGGUUAACGCGAUGCCCUGCUAUUAAACCAUAGUUAAGGCAUUCCCUUCGGGGGCGUGUGUUCGAAUCACACAGGUGUCG
rnacentral:tRNA from 2 species